rnacentral:lncRNA from 1 species
AAACCCCCCCACACAUCACGCCCUCACCCCUCCCCGUCGCGUCUUCAACCCCCGCCGGCGCCGAGUGCGCCGCUCGUCGCGCCGCCCACAUCCACGGUGAGACCCUCUGGAUCUGGCAGUCUCCGAUCCCCAUCACCGUACCCCGCCUCCGCCUCACCGCAAUCUCACCCGAUUCCGCGCCGCCAGUUCACCGUCGCCCGGAUUGACCACCGUCCCCCGCCUCUCCACCGCGCCGAUCUCCUCCGCGACUCCCACCGCCGCCGCCGCCGCUUCUCUUGGUUCUCGAUUUUGGUUUGGUUUGCUCCGGAUUUCUUGAGUCGGGGAGGCCGGGAGGGGAUUCGUCUCGUGAUUUUCUUUGUCUAUUGUUUGAUUGAUCUACCUAUUCAGGAAAAUGAUCGAGGCAAUCGACGAGUACAGCGCCGAAGAUCCGCUCCAACCAUGGCUAGAGAGGGGAUUGCUCAAGUCGGCUGGUGGUGAUCUACGACCAGACGACGACCUCUACAAGAAGGGUCUCCGCUACCUCAAAGUGUGACUGGAAUAUGUGAGUUCAUGAAUUCAGAUUUGGUUCUGAGGUGGAUUGGUUUGGUUUCCUUUUGACAUCCAGCUUGUGUUUAUCUUUUCAUGCAUGACGGCGGGGAAUUGUGUUGAUUCCUGGAGGCUAACCCGAUCAGUCAGAGCCAUACCAAUUACUACUUGUGUAAUGCGUUGGUAAUAUAUUGAACCACAGGGUAAUCUCUCUCAAUAAUUUAAAUUGGCACAAUUAAAGAUGUUGGAUUAAUUGCAUCAGUGUGACAUCCAUGAUUUGUUUAGCACUCUGGGCAGUUUUACUGCAAAUUUGUUGGUUCUUAACUCUGAAGAAUAUGUCUAGCUUAGAUUGGAUGUCUGGCCAUUGGGGAGAUAGACAUAGCAGGAUAUGGUAGUGCAUGCGUUCGCGAAAAAGGAUAUGGUAGUGCAUGAAUAAUAUGUUUAACUGACUAUGAUCCUACUGCUUGUAUGUUCACAUCAAAAUUUUUCUUUCUUAAAGAUCUGAUAACGUGGGGGAUGCAUGUAUGUUUGUGAUAUGGUUCAUCAGUAUGGAUGCAUCUUGUCACCCUGAAAGUAUACGGUUGCCAUCCAUGGAAUAAAGGGGUGAAGAAGAUGGCAAGUGUCAAUUUAGAGUGGUAAUUUGGGAAUCCAUGUCGUAUGCUUGUCUUAGGAGCUUAUGACCCACGUAGACAAGCAUGUGGCAAUACUACAGUAGCAUCUUGGCUUAAUCAUCUUAUCAAUUGGAGUAUUGUGCAUGAAAGUCAGAUAAAGGUUUACGACUGAAUAUGAUUGUGUGUUUAAGCCAAAUAUAAUAAAUUAAUAUGCUAAUAUUAAUUUAUUUUCAUGAUUGUUGAUUUGUAGGUAGGUAUGCUUGCAUUUUCUCCCGAGGGAAAACUCAAAUAGUCUCAAAUUUAGCUUACAAAACAGGAAUUGAAGAUCUAUGAUUUCUCCAUUUUUCUUUAAAUUAAAUCUGUUUUGCAGUUAUGAGAAAACAAGGCCAUUUGUUAUUCUUAUGUACGAGUACAACGCUUUGGCAGCAAAUUUCUUUACUUACAGUUUCACAUCUUACUUGGAGUGCACUGUAUAGAAAAAUAUGAUUCAGAUUGCAUUUCCCAUUAAGUAUACGCUUCAAUAAGCAAUUGCGAGGGAUGACCUUUGCAUCCUUCUAGCUAUUUAUUUUCCACUUAAGUUCUACGGAGUAUCACAUCAUGUGUCAGUUUUUGAUGGCAUGCCAUCGACGAAGCCAGUCGUGCCUUCUGCUUGAACACAAUGGACAUUGCCUCCCCACUUGAACAGACCAAAUCUGGAACCUCUGCCUUCAUGGACUUCACAGCGCGACAAUUCCAUUCUCCAAAAUCUGUUGUACAGAGCAACAAGUGCAAGACAUCACCCUUAAUGUUCAAAUAUAUUAUGCAAUAUAGCCUGAUCACUUAAUGUUCAAAUGUGCUCAAGCAAAGUUCCUGCAGUUGCUAUUUUAGAGAUGUGCAAGAGAUAGAAUCCCAAAUUCUAGAAUUGAGGUCAUGUCCAUGCUGCAAUAUCCUGAAAACAAAAUCAGAAUAUUACCUUCUUGUAUUUGUUCUCUGUAGGAACAUGGGCCAUUUCGCUAACCCGAAAUGAUUGGGUGUUAAAAACAAAUUGCUUUCAGAUAUUGCAUUUGCCUUAUAGAGUUGUUUCCCUUUUGCAACAAUGGAGACCUUUCAUCCCUUCGAAACUGGCAGGGUACUUGGAUGCUUUAAAGGGAUUCUUGCUUGCCAAAAUUCACGAGAUGUGAGGAUCAAGUCUCAACUAAUGAUCAAGAAGAUGGAUUUUCCAACUAGCUAUAAGUAUCCAGCGGUUCUGCAACUGUUUGCUAUCAUUUUUGUGCCGAGAUGGAACGUUCCCUAGAGAGAUAGCUUAGGUUAGCUAUCCAGCGGUUCUGCAACUGUUUGCUAUCAUUUUUGUGCCGAGAUGGAACGUUCCCUAGAGAGAUAGCUUAGGUUAGCUUGUUCCUUUGUUCUGUAACUCAGACUGGCUUGUUCU